GUGUCAGCAGCCGCGGUAAGACGUAGGAGGCGAGCGUUAUCCGGAUUCACUGGGCGUAAAGCGCAUGUAGGCGGCUGGGAAAGUCUGCAAUGAAAGCCCCUGGCUCAACUGGGGGAGGCUUGCGGAGACUACUCGGCUGGAGGGCAGCAGAGGAGCGUGGAACUCCCGGUGUAGCGGUGGAAUGCGUAGAGAUCGGGAAGAACACCAGUGGCGAAGGCGGCGCUCUGGGCUGCACCUGACGCUGAGAUGCGAAAGUGUGGGGAGCAAACGGGAUUAGAUACCCCGGUAGUCC
rnacentral:rRNA from 1 species